GACGUAGGGGGCGAGCGUUGUCCGGAAUUAUUGGGCGUAAAGCGCGCGUAGGCGGUUACUUAUGUCGGAUGUGAAAGCCCUCGGCUUAACUGAGGAAGUGCAUUCGAAACUGGGUAGCUAGAGUACUAAAGAGGGUCGCGGAAUUCCCGGUGUAGAGGUGAAAUUCGUAGAUAUCGGGAGGAACACCGGUGGCGAAGGCGGCGACCUGGGUAGAUACUGACGCUGAGGCGCGAAAGCGUGGGGAGCAAACAGG
rnacentral:rRNA from 1 species